CAGCAGCCGCGGGAAUACGAAGGGUGCAAGCGUUAAUCGGAAUUACUGGGCGUAAAGCGCGCGUAGGUGGUUCAUUAAGUUGGAUGUGAAAGCCCUGGGCUCAACCUGGGAACUGCAUCCAAAACUGGUGAGCUAGAGUACGGUAGAGGGUAGUGGAAUUUCCUGUGUAGCGGUGAAAUGCGUAGAUAUAGGAAGGAACACCAGUGGCGAAGGCGACUACCUGGACUGAUACUGACACUGAGGUGUGAAAGCGUGGGGAGCAAACAGGAUUAGAUACCCCCGUAGUCCCUGUCUCUUAUAC
rnacentral:rRNA from 1 species